UACGUAGGCAGCAAGCGUUGUUCGGAGUUACUGGGCGUAAAGGGUGCGUAGGCGGUUGUUUAAGUUUGGUGUGAAAUCUCCCGGCUCAACUGGGAGGGUGCGCCGAAUACUGAAUGACUAGAGUGCGGGAGAGGAGAGUGGAAUUCCUGGUGUAGCGGUGAAAUGCGCAGAUAUCAGGAGGAACACCAAUUGCGAAGGCAGCUCGCUGGGACGUUACUGACGCUGAGACGCGAAAGCGUGGGGAGCGAACAGG
rnacentral:rRNA from 1 species